rnacentral:pre_miRNA from 1 species
AAUAAACCCUGAUUUCCAUGCCCAAUAUUUGACCGUCUAUCUUAUUUGAAAAAAUUAUAAAAAAAAUUAAAAAAACAAGUCACGCAUAAAGUAUUAAUCAUGUUUUAUCAUCUGACACCAAUAAAAAUACGAAUUAUAAAAAAAAUUUAUAUAAGACGGGCAGUCAAAGUUGGACACGCAAACCCAGGGUUUGCCUUUUU